rnacentral:rRNA from 1 species
UGGGGAAUAUUGCACAAUGGGCGCAAGCCUGAUGCAGCCAUGCCGCGUGUGUGAAGAAGGCCUUCGGGUUGUAAAGCACUUUCAGCGAGGAGGAAGGUGGUGAGCUUAAUACGCUCAUCAAUUGACGUUACUCGCAGAAGAAGCACCGGCUAACUCCGUGCCAGCAGCCGCGGUAAUACGGAGGGUGCAAGCGUUAAUCGGAAUUACUGGGCGUAAAGCGCACGCAGGCGGUUUGUUAAGUCAGAUGUGAAAUCCCCGGGCUCAACCUGGGAACUGCAUUUGAAACUGGCAAGCUAGAGUCUCGUAGAGGGGGGUAGAAUUCCAGGUGUAGCGGUGAAAUGCGUAGAGAUCUGGAGGAAUACCGGUGGCGAAGGCGGCCCCCUGGACGAAGACUGACGCUCAGGUGCGAAAGCGUGGGGAGCAAAACAGGAUUAGAUACCCUGGUAGUCCACGCUGUAAAACGAUGUCGAUUUUGGAGGUUGUGCCCUUGAGGCGUGGCUUCCGGAGCUAACGCGUUAAAUCGACCGCCUGGGGAGUACGGCCGCAAGGUUAAAACUUAAAGGAAUUGACGGGGUCUAGCUG